AUGAGGCUUCCUGCUCAGCUCCUGGGGCUGCUAAUGCUCUGGGUCCCUGGAUCCAGUGGGGACAUUGUGAUGACCCAGACUCCACUCUCCCUGCCUGUCACUCCUGGAGAGCCAGCCUCCAUCUCCUGCAGAUCUAGUGAGAGCCUCUUGGAUACUGAUGAUGAAUACACCUAUUUGAAUUGGUACCUGCAGAAGCCAGGCCAGUCUCCACAGCUCCUGAUCUAUGAGGUUCCAGCCAGGCCUCUGGAGUCCCAGACAGGUUCAGUGGCAGUGGGUCAGGCAUUGAUUUCACACUGAAAAUCAGCAGGGUGGAGGCUGAGGAUGUUGGGGUUUAUUACUGCAUGCAGGCUCUUCAGACUCCUCCCACAGUGCUACAUGCUUGA